rnacentral:rRNA from 1 species
AGGACGAACGCUGGCGGCGUGCUUAACACAUGCAAGUCGAGCGGUAAGGCCUUUCGGGGUACACGAGCGGCGAACGGGUGAGUAACACGUGGGUGAUCUGCCCUGCACUUCGGGAUAAGCCUGGGAAACUGGGUCUAGUACCGGAUAUGACCUCAGGUUGCAUGACUUGGGGUGGAAAGAUUUAUCGGUGCAGGAUGGGCCCGCGGCCUAUCAGCUUGUUGGUGGGGUAAUGGCCUACCAAGGCGACGACGGGUAGCCGACCU